GGCUACACGUGUCUCUCUCCACAGGUGCGUGAGUGUGUGGGUCGGUCACUCUGUUCGAAGGCUCGUCUGUGACUUAAUCACUUCUGUCUUGGCCAGGAUGCAGCCUUGGGUCCCAAGGGUCUUUAAACAGCAAGAUCUACCAGUUCGGGAAGCGCUCGGUUUCGAGACAAUGAAGCGAUGAGGGCGUGUUGACUAAUCACCUAAAACACGAACCAAGUGCAGGUAUGAAGGAACUUGCAAACGUUAACAGGUACACGUGAGCUCGUUUUUAGAUCAAACCCUGACUUAUACAAAAUGAGACGGAGGCAAUUUAGUUCCAAAGUCACUUCUCAGGCUUUUCCACGUAGCUAAGCCUUGUCGGCCAUCACGGGGCCAGGCUGUGACCUGCUGACCACUGGGGACAUUGUUUGUUUAUCGAGUCCCUUGAACACUUUACUAAGUUGUGCAUUGUUUCGUUUUGUUAAGAAAGUUUUUAAAAAGUCCCUCCUUUUUGUUUUAAAUUUGAUUUCUGCUGCAGUCUGCAAAACGUUUGCUGUGCCGUAUCCGCAGAGCAACGCGCCGUGGCGGGCGGAGGUGGGGGGUGUGUGGGGGGAGCUGACCCUUGUGGUCUCUCUGCGGGUUUGGCACGGACAGGCACAGGACCUGAACGAGGUCAUCUCAGUUUAAAAAGUACAGACAGUGCUGCUGGGGGUGACUACACAGAAAAGUACUGUUUAAAAAAAAAAAAAAUUUACAAGCCAGCAGUCACUCUGAUUCCUCGAACCCUCUGUGAACCUGAGCUCGGAAGGACGCAGGACGCAGCAGCGUGGGACGCAGGAAGGGGUGACACACGAGUCGCCAGGUUUGUGCUUUUGUUCGUGUGUGUGUUUGACACCACAAGUCUCCAAAUGAAAAACUGAUUAACAAUUGUGUGAGCCUGUGAUAAAACAGCACGGAGGUGUUUUUUUUCUUUUUUCCUUUUAAAGAAGUCCACUUUUAAGGCAUCAGAGAAGUUAAUGUGGCAAACAUUUUAAUUAAAACGUCAGAAGUAAAUUUUAUUUUAAACUUUAGGCCUCUGAAUUUUUCCAGUAAACACAGUUCAGCUAUGUGGCAAAGUCAUGGGUGGCAGCUAAAAUGACUUUUUACAUUCUACAAAAAAAUAAAAUAAGGACACAGCCCCAAACGGUGUCGCCUCUCCGCGGCCGCUCCACAUGCACGGAAUCUACGAGGACUUGUCACAGCCGGUGGCACCGUUUUCUUUUGACUAUACAACAAACUUUUUUCAAAAGUAUUUGCUCAGAUAACUUAAAAAUAAUAUAAAAAUAAACAAUGAAUUUGACUUUUCCUCAAAAUAAAAAAAAAAAAAUGAUGGAAAGUCUUAAACAAUAGCAAAUUCUUUACGUACACAUGAACUGCAAGGGCACGGUUCUUUCUGAGGAAGCAGAUCAGAGAGACAGUUCUCGGCUUAAUGCUCUUCCCAGCAUCGCACCAGGCCAUGACCCAAAACCAACGUGGACGAGGAAAAGAAAACCAACGUGGGCGGGAAAAGCAAUGUACAAAAUUUCAAAGAUAAAUACAAUAUUUAUAAUUGAUAUGUUACAAAAUAAAGUCCCUUAGCAACUGCAAGUGUUCAUGGAAAAGUGUCGAAUGGAGACCAUUUCACUCCUUAUGAGACGCAUAAGGAAUAAAACUUUUUUCUAAAUAUUUAAGUGGAUCUGAAAAAAAUUCAAGACAAGUGUAUAAAUAGUUAGCUACAACUUUGGCAAAAUCACAAAAGUCUACAAUUUUAUAACCACAUACAAAACACAUUAGGGAAGAAGGAUCUAGAAGUCAAAAGGACAAUUUCUGGUACAAGAAACAUGGACCUCACAGUAGCCUAAGAAUGCAAUAGUAUACAGUGCUAGCAAAAGUUGAAAAAUGUUGCAGACCACACUUGCUUAACAGGAAGCUCUAGCAGUGGGAGAAUAUUUUAACCAACAGACAGUAGCGUUUUCUCUGUCAGUGUGCUUGUUGAAGGCAAGAGAAUUCAAUAUCAAAGUUACAAUUUCUAACUACAAUAAGUUACAAAGUUCCAUUUCAUUAAGAUGAAGGUAAGCAAUGAUAAACCCUCCCUCCCUCCCUGCCACCCCGAGUUCUCCUACUCACAUAGUCAUCCUUUCUUCCGGUUCGAUGGCUCAUACCUCCUUGGCCCCCUUUUUCCACCACAGAAAAAUAUUUCACAUUAUAGAGAUACACAACCAUUGUGAAUCUAAGGAUGAGUACAGAAAAAUGUUUGGAGGCGUUUUCAUCAGGGUUUCAUGAUGCAUUCACAAACUUUCUCCCGACACAUAGCAAGUACUAGACAUGGCCAAGACGGAGUCAGAAACUUUAUACAAAAUAGGCGUCGCUUUGAUUUCCUUACUCUUCAGGACCGAGAAGUGUGAAAAUAUGAGAAAAGUUCAGUCAAUAAAAUGGAAUUGUUCAUGAAGAAGUAGGCUGUUUGCAUGUCGAUUCUUAACAGUUUAAAUAAAAUCUUUAAACAAAG